rnacentral:rRNA from 1 species
GGGUUGUGAGGUUAAGCGACUAAGCGUACACGGUGGAUGCCCUGGCAGUCAGAGGCGAUGAAGGACGUGCUAAUCUGCGAUAAGCGUCGGUGAGGUGAUAUGAACCGUUAUAACCGGCGAUUUCCGAAUGGGGAAACCCAGUGUGUUUCGACACACUAUCAUUAACUGAAUCCAUAGGUUAAUGAGGCGAACCGGGGGAACUGAAACAUCUAAGUACCCCGAGGAAAAGAAAUCAACCGAGAUUCCCCCAGUAGCGGCGAGCGAACGGGGAGGAGCCCAGAGCCUGAAUCAGUGUGUGUGUUAGUGGAAGCGUCUGGAAAGGCGCGCGAUACAGGGUGACAGCCCCGUACACAAAAAUGCACAUAUUGUGAGCUCGAUGAGUAGGGCGGGACACGUGGUAUCCUGUCUGAAUAUGGGGGGACCAUCCUCCAAGGCUAAAUACUCCUGACUGACCGAUAGUGAACCAGUACCGUGAGGGAAAGGCGAAAAGAACCCCGGCGAGGGGAGUGAAAAAGAACCUGAAACCGUGUACGUACAAGCAGUGGGAGCCUCUUAAUGGGGUGACUGCGUACCUUUUGUAUAAUGGGUCAGCGACUUAUAUUCUGUAGCAAGGUUAACCGAAUAGGGGAGCCGAAGGGAAACCGAGUCUUAACUGGGCGUUAAGUUGCAGGGUAUAGACCCGAAACCCGGUGAUCUAGCCAUGGGCAGGUUGAAGGUUGGGUAACACUAACUGGAGGACCGAACCGACUAAUGUUGAAAAAUUAGCGGAUGACUUGUGGCUGGGGGUGAAAGGCCAAUCAAACCGGGAGAUAGCUGGUUCUCCCCGAAAGCUAUUUAGGUAGCGCCUCGUGAAUUCAUCUCCGGGGGUAGAGCACUGUUUCGGCAAGGGGGUCAUCCCGACUUACCAACCCGAUGCAAACUGCGAAUACCGGAGAAUGUUAUCACGGGAGACACACGGCGGGUGCUAACGUCCGUCGUGAAGAGGGAAACAACCCAGACCGCAAGCUAAGGUCCCAAAGUCAUGGUUAAGUGGGAAACGAUGUGGGAAGGCCCAGACAGCCAGGAUGUUGGCUUAGAAGCAGCCAUCAUUUAAAGAAAGCGUAAUAGCUCACUGGUCGAGUCGGCCUGCGCGGAAGAUGUAACGGGGCUAAACCAUGCACCGAAGCUGCGGCAGCGACACUAUGUGUUGUUGGGUAGGGGAGCGUUCUGUAAGCCUGUGAAGGUGGCCUGUGAGGGUUGCUGGAGGUAUCAGAAGUGCGAAUGCUGACAUAAGUAACGAUAAAGCGGGUGAAAAGCCCGCUCGCCGGAAGACCAAGGGUUCCUGUCCAACGUUAAUCGGGGCAGGGUGAGUCGACCCCUAAGGCGAGGCCGAAAGGCGUAGUCGAUGGGAAACAGGUUAAUAUUCCUGUACUUGGUGUUACUGCGAAGGGGGGACGGAGAAGGCUAUGUUGGCCGGGCGACGGUUGUCCCGGUUUAAGCGUGUAGGCUGGUUUUCCAGGCAAAUCCGGAAAAUCAAGGCUGAGGCGUGAUGACGAGGCACUACGGUGCUGAAGCGACAAAUGCCCUGCUUCCAGGAAAAGCCUCUAAGCAUCAGGUAACAUCAAAUCGUACCCCAAACCGACACAGGUGGUCAGGUAGAGAAUACCAAGGCGCUUGAGAGAACUCGGGUGAAGGAACUAGGCAAAAUGGUGCCGUAACUUCGGGAGAAGGCACGCUGAUAUGUAGGUGAAGCGACUUGCUCGUGGAGCUGAAAUCAGUCGAAGAUACCAGCUGGCUGCAACUGUUUAUUAAAAACACAGCACUGUGCAAACACGAAAGUGGACGUAUACGGUGUGACGCCUGCCCGGUGCCGGAAGGUUAAUUGAUGGGGUUAGCGGUAACGCGAAGCUCUUGAUCGAAGCCCCGGUAAACGGCGGCCGUAACUAUAACGGUCCUAAGGUAGCGAAAUUCCUUGUCGGGUAAGUUCCGACCUGCACGAAUGGCGUAAUGAUGGCCAGGCUGUCUCCACCCGAGACUCAGUGAAAUUGAACUCGCUGUGAAGAUGCAGUGUACCCGCGGCAAGACGGAAAGACCCCGUGAACCUUUACUAUAGCUUGACACUGAACAUUGAGCCUUGAUGUGUAGGAUAGGUGGGAGGCUUUGAAGUGUGGACGCCAGUCUGCAUGGAGCCGACCUUGAAAUACCACCCUUUAAUGUUUGAUGUUCUAACGUGGGCCCCUUACCGGGGUUGCGGACAGUGUCUGGUGGGUAGUUUGACUGGGGCGGUCUCCUCCUAAAGAGUAACGGAGGAGCACGAAGGUUGGCUAAUCCUGGUCGGACAUCAGGAGGUUAGUGCAAUGGCAUAAGCCAGCUUGACUGCGAGCGUGACGGCGCGAGCAGGUGCGAAAGCAGGUCAUAGUGAUCCGGUGGUUCUGAAUGGAAGGGCCAUCGCUCAACGGAUAAAAGGUACUCCGGGGAUAACAGGCUGAUACCGCCCAAGAGUUCAUAUCGACGGCGGUGUUUGGCACCUCGAUGUCGGCUCAUCACAUCCUGGGGCUGAAGUAGGUCCCAAGGGUAUGGCUGUUCGCCAUUUAAAGUGGUACGCGAGCUGGGUUUAGAACGUCGUGAGACAGUUCGGUCCCUAUCUGCCGUGGGCGCUGGAGAACUGAGGGGGGCUGCUCCUAGUACGAGAGGACCGGAGUGGACGCAUCACUGGUGUUCGGGUUGUCAUGCCAAUGGCACUGCCCGGUAGCUAAAUGCGGAAGAGAUAAGUGCUGAAAGCAUCUAAGCACGAAACUUGCCCCGAGAUGAGUUCUCCCUGACUCCUUGAGAGUCCUGAAGGAACGUUGAAGACGACGACGUUGAUAGGCCGGGUGUGUAAGCGCAGCGAUGCGUUGAGCUAACCGGUACUAAUGAACCGUGAGGCUUAACCUUACAACGCCGAAG